rnacentral:lncRNA from 1 species
UCCAAAUUUGGACGCUCAAUUAGAACUUUAAACUCAAAUGUCGUGAACCUUGUGCCUCUAUUAUCAAGUACAAACCACUCAAGUACCCGAUUGUUUCUUUUUAAACAUUCAUAUGAGUAGGAAUGAUACACAUAACUAUCAUACUCUAGGCACACCUAGGUGAUUGGUUUUGUUUGAUUAUUAUGAUGAAUAGACUCGUGUCAAUUUCAGAUGCUCAAAAGUCAGUGCAUUAGUUUUAACUCAAUUAUUAAUUCUCUUCCACAGUAAUUGGAAGAUGAUGGAUGUAUUCUGCAAUUGUCUUAAUUUCACAAAAUUGUAAGAUAGCCAUGUGGUAAUAUAAUACUAGCAAUAGCUCUCCUUGAAAUGAGGUGAUCCAGUUGCACCUUCCAGCAUGGCUAGUUACGACUUCACUUAAGUCCAUAGAAAUUAGCAAUGAAGUAAUUUAUCAAGAUAUGUAUGUUCAUAAGGAUAAUCUACCACACUGAAAAACCAAAAGAAGAAUAUUGCUUAAAGGAAUGGUGUUUGGGAGCCAACUUCAGAAGUACUUGUGCAAGAAGCAUUAUCUGAGUUGCAAUCUAGAUUCAAGAGUCGAGUUACAACUCAAGCCUUUUGACAGCUCUUUAAGAAUCUAAACUCCCAAGUGUGCUCUCUAGAGUUCGUGCUUGGUUUGGAAUUCGUACAGAUCUAACUUACCGCAAACAAAGGAAGUAGACCAAUCGACUAAACUAAAGGUCGGCCAAUCUACUAAGGCAAAAAUACACAACUCUGGGGAGUUUAUUCCUCCAAGAUUACCUUGUACUGUUGUACAUUUCAUGUUUUUAUUCAUGUUUUCAGACUUCGGGAUAAUGGAAACCUUUGAAUGCAAUAUUCAAAUAUACACAAAUGGCAUUUCCAUAAAACGGGAAAGAAGAAGAAAAACUGUACAUGUUCAAAAUGGAUUUACUCUCUUUUCCUCCUCCAUCCGCAAUACUGCUUAGAAGCUGGAAAAUUUAAAAGACGAACACAUUCUUAUAAACACGAUGUCUGAAGUUGUCACACUGAAGUUAUUGUAGGGUUCUUUUCCAA